ACUUUACGAGAGAAAAAGACCAGCAAGCAAGGCAACUGCAAUGAAGCAUCAAUAAAGACAUGAGCAGGCCAGCCACCCUGAGACUGAUAAUUCAUGAGAAGACAUUUCUGUCAAAGUGGAUGGUGAGCAAAGAUGGUGGCCACGCUUUGGAGCAGCACCUGGGUUUUGCAGGCCGCUAUGUAUUCUUUGGCUGUUUGUCU